ensembl:lncRNA
AGCGCUUCUCCCUGAAGCGCUAAGUCACAGUUGAAUACUUUUGUUUUUGUUGCUACCUUUAAACAAUAGCUAUACAGUGGACACAUCGCCUUGGUACCUUAGAGAGCCCUCAAGCAGACCAGCUCAAGCACUUGAACAGAGCAUUCCUCUUCAGGGGAUGGAAACCAUGAUCCUGAUCAAGAAGCAUAAACGAGGAAAUUGAAAAUCCCACAUUGUUCUAUUUCCGAGUGAAAAGCUUUGAUUCACCACUAGAGGACACUAUUCACCCUCUCAUCUUUCUGAAGGCGUCAGCCCAGCAGGGCUCGUUUUCAAGUGAAAAUAACUGCAUUUACUAAGGCUUGUGAUUUGUUUAGAAAUAAAAAGCAGCACCCCCAUGAUUCUGAGCAGAUUUACCCCCGUAAAGCUCCUGUUGAUUGUGAUGCAAAGUCUUUAACUGCAUCAAAUGUAAACUGGAAAAAUUCAGCAAAUUAGGAUUGCCUGUGCAACUAUACAUAAAAUACACUUCAUCACAAAUUGUUUAGGUUUACAAAAUAGACA